UUGCUUGCUUAACUCUUAUCUGCGCAUCCUUUAGUUGCGAGCAUAUUCAAUUUACUUAAUCAAGUCUCAUUCAAUAAAACUGCAUUAAGACUCAUUGUAUUGAAUUGCAUGCUUGGGCAAACUUAGACUAAUCUUUUAUUGAGUCCGCUGCUUAAUAGUUUUAAUCUUGAUAAGAUUAAAAUCAAACUGUUGCUAAGUUUAAAUUCCACUGUGCAUCUAUACAACUUAGCAUAAUUAAUUGAAAAGUUUUAGAAGUAGUAUAAAAGUUUUAAAAGACCCAAUUCACCCCCCAUCUUGGGUUGUAUCUACUGGGCAACAAAAUCACAUAUGGUUUCAAGAGAAAGCAACCAAUCAUGCAACAAGAAAGAAGAUCUAAAGCACGAUUGGACAGAACGGUGGAACCUACAAAUCCGUCACCAUCUCAACAAGAAUCCAUUCCAUCCUCACCCAUUCCGUCACCACUUUCUCCCAUUCCUAGACUUAUAUCGUUCACCACAUUGUCCAUCCAAAUGGUGUCUACCGGUAGAAAGGUAGAUUUCCAGUUGACAAAUCUAAAAGAAAUGGGAUGGGAGUAUAUAUAUGUUCACUGGACCUUCUGACCUACCCCGACAUGGUUAAAGAGUUCUAUGGCAAUGCUAGGCACGGCCUAGCUCAGAUUUUGUCAAAGGUCAGGGACGUUCCUAUCCUAAUUGUUGUGGGAUGGGGUUCCCAGUUUAGUCCCACAUCG
rnacentral:lncRNA from 1 species